CUGUAACUGAAAGCAGGUACAGCCUCAGUGUUCACAGUAAAACUGUAACUUAGUGGGUACAGCCUCAGUGUUCACAGUAAAACUGUAACUGAAAGCAGGUACAGCCUCAGUGUUCACAGUAAAACUGUAACUUAGUGGGUACAGCCUCAGUGUUCACAGUAAAACUGUAACUUAGUGGGUACAGCCUCAGUGUUCACAGUAAAACUGUAACUUAAAGCAGGUACAGCCUCAGUGUUCACAGUAAAACUGUAACUUAGUGGGUACAGCCUCAGUGUUCACAGUAAAACUGUAACUUAGUGGGUACAGCCUCAGUGUUCACAGUAAAACUGUAACUUAGUGGGUACAGCCUCAGUGUUCACAGUAAAACUGUAACUUAGUGGGUACAGCCUCAGUGUUCACAGUAAAACUGUAACUUAGUGGGUACAGCCUCAGUGUUCACAGUAAAACUGUAACUUAGUGGGUACAGCCUCAGUGUUCACAGUAAAACUGUAACUUAAAGCAGGUACAGCCUCAGUGUUCACAGUAAAACUGUAACUUAGUGG